ACACGACUACAUUAGAUACCCCUGUAGUCCUAGCCGUAAACGAUACUCGCUAGGUGUCGGCCACGGUGCGACCGUUGUCGGUGCCGUAGGGAAGCCGUGAAGCGAGCCACCUGGGAAGUACGGCCGCAAGGCUGAAACUUAAAGGAAUCGGCGGGGGAGCACCACAACGGGUGGAGCUUGCGGUUUAAUUGGAUUCAACGCCGGAAAUCUUACCGGGACCGACAGCAACAUGAAGGCCAGGCUGAAGACUUUGCCGGAUUAGCUG
rnacentral:rRNA from 1 species